GUAGAUAAGGUACUGGUACC
rnacentral:miRNA from 1 species